GAUUCCUUAAUCUCACACACAAAAGGAUGACAUUGUUUUUUACCUUUAUUACUAGCGUGUUUCACAAAGAGUUAAAUAUAAUAACCAAAUAAGGUGUAAAGAUAGCAAAAAAGUAACAAUUUUUAUUGAAGAAUCAUUAUUUAAUUUCACAAUUAGGACACAACUUAAUACCCUUUUAAAUAAUAUAUGAAUUACAACUAUCUUAGGCCACAAAUAUAAUCACUAUUAUUUGAGCGAAUUGCUGCGAAUUGUGGGACUCAAGAAGGAGGUCACCAUCUGGCGACCCUUCCUGCUAUUUAGUUAAUUAUGCAAGGACCGUCCAGUAAACAUGUCAAUUGUGGAAUAUUCGAACGGAUGCCGGAAGGCGGCCAAGUAAACAGACGGUGCAGUUGGCCAAUAAGUUUACAGUGGUUAUUUCUGAGUAAGAAAGUUUAAAAAAAACUAAGUAGCUUUUUUUAUUUGUAUACAUUUUGUAAGCUGUCAGUAUAAGAUAUAUUUUUUUUAUUCAAAAGAAUAGAUCAACAUUUUUAGCAUAUUCAUGCUAUUUACCACUGUAUUUCUAUCAGGCAAAUAGAAGAAAGUACAAUUCGAGCCAGGGGCGGAUUAAUAAAUGCACGGACUCGUUUCCGCAUGGCCUGUUUCCCCUCAUGGCGCAGCUAGCUAUCCAUGGCCAAUUCAAUUAACCAGGCCGCAACUGGUAGUGUUUCGUAGCUCCGUAACCAGCCAUUUCCAGCGACAGCUGCUCCUGGCACGACUCCUUCCUUUCGGAGCCCCGCCAACCCGAAAUCCACCUCGAAAUGCGUACAACUUUGGCCGGUGGGGGGUAUAGUUGAAGGUUAAUUUGGUUUAUACGGGAUCUAAGACUCUUGGACCUUUAUAUGAAUCGCAUAUAUCCUGCCUGUCACACAGAAGCCUUCAUCAAUUAACUCCAGUAAAGCUGGCAU